UUCGGUUCCGAUCUACAAACG
rnacentral:siRNA from 1 species